GACGAGCCUCACAAACGUUAUUCGGAAUUACUGGGCUUAAAGGGUGCGUAGGCGGCGCGGAAAGUUGGGUGUGAAAUCCCUCGGCUCAACCGAGGAAUUGCGCUCAAAACUACCGUGCUCGAGGGAGAUAGAGGAAUGCGGAACUUACGGUGGAGCGGUGAAAUGCGUUGAUAUCGUAGGGAACACCAGUGGCGAAAGCGGCAUUCUGGAUCUCUUCUGACGCUGAUGCACGAAAGCUAGGGUAGCAAACGGG
rnacentral:rRNA from 1 species